UGUCAGAUGGCCGAGUGGUCUAAGGCGCCAGACUCAAGCUCUGGUCCACGAAUGUGGUCGUGGGUUCGAAUCCCACUUCUGACAA